rnacentral:rRNA from 1 species
ACUCUAGUUGAUCCUGCUAGAGGACACUGCUAUCGGUUUGGGGAUAAGACAUGCAAGUGGAACGGGCUCGCAUCCGAGUCCGUCGCGAACGGCUCAGUAGUGUCGUUAACCCACCCUGUAGAGGCGGACAACGCCGGGAAACUGGCGGUAAUCCACCGUAGGAGCAUUGUUCUGGAAAUGAUUUUGCUCUCAUAAGGAGCCCAAGGUAUGUUGGGAUUUCCGCUAUAGGACGGGACGGCACCGGAUCAUACUUGUAAGUGGGGUAAUUGCCCACUUAGGUUAUGACCCGAACGGGCGAUGUAAGUCGUGGCCCGGAGAAGGGCACUGAGACAAGGGCCCUAGCCCCACGGGGUGCAGCAGUUACGAAACCUCACCAAUAUGCGCAAGCAUGAGUGGGCCAAACCGAGUGAUGGGGGAUAACUCCAUCUGUGGCGAAACCGUAGUAAGGUUCGCUAGAAAGGAGAGGGCAAGGCUGGUGCCAGCCGCCGCGGUAAAACCAGCUCUUCSAGUGSUGUCCAUGAUUAUUGAGCUUAAGCGUUCGUAGCCUGUUUUGUAGGUCCCUGCUUAAAUCCGGCCGCCUAACGGUCGGUCUGGUAGGGAUACCGCAUUACUUGGGGACGGGAGACGACAACGGUAUUCCGGAGGUAAGGGUGAAAUCUAAUGAUCUUCGGAGGACCACCAGUGGCGAAGGCGGUUGUCGAGAACGUGCCCGACGGUGAGGGACGAAACCCAGGGGAGCAAAUCGGAUUAGAUACCCGAGUAGUCCUGGGCGUAAACGAUGCCCGUUAAGUGUUGCAUUGGCCACGAGCCACUGCAGUGCUGCAGCGAAAGCGAUAAACGGGCCGCUUGGGAAGUACGGUCGCAAGACUGAAACUUAAAGGAAUUGGCGGGGGAGCACCACAAGGGGUGGAGCUUGCGGUUUAAUUGGACAACGCCGGAAAACUUACCCGCCCAGACAGCCGAAUGAGAGCCAGACUGAUGAUCUUGCUCGACGAGCUGAGAGCUGGUGCAUGGCCAUCGUAAAUUCGUGCCGUGAGGUAUCAGCUUAAGUGCUGCAACGAAUGAGAUCCCUGCCACCUAGUUGCCAGCCGGGAGCUUUGCUCCGUCGGGGCACACUAGGGGGACUGCCAGCGAGAAGCUGGAGGAGGGUAGGGGCCACGGUAGGUCAGUAUGCCGCGAUAUGGGCGGGGCCACACGCGUGCUACAAUGGCAAGGACAAUGCGUCACGACGCCGAAAGGCGAAGUCAAUCGCGAAACCUUGUCGUAGUUGGAAUUGGGGGUUGGAACUCAUCCCCAUGAACCUGGAAUCCCUAGUAUCCGCGUCUCACUACGGCGCGGAGAAUACGUCCCUGCUUCUUGCACACACCGCCCGUCGCUCCAUGCGAGCUGGUUUUGGGUGAGGCUUCGUCCUUAAUUGGGCGGAGACCAAUCUGGGGUUAGCAAGUAGGGAGAAGUCGUAACAAGGUAUCCGUAGCGGAAGCUGCGGAUGGAUCACCUCCGU